AACAAAUAGUCAAUAUGUGCUUACCCAGCACUGGCGGCAAAUUCAAACAGAAAGGCUAGCCUAGAGUUUGGUUAGGCUAUUUCACGUUACUUGGAUGUA